rnacentral:rRNA from 1 species
UGAGUAACACGUGUCCAACCUGCCGUCUACUCUUGGCCAGCCUUCUGAAAGGAAGAUUAAUCCAGGAUGGCAUCAUGAGUUCACAUGUCCGCAUGAUUAAAGGUAUUUUCCGGUAGACGAUGGGGAUGCGUUCCAUUAGAUAGUAGGCGGGGUAACGGCCCACCUAGUCAACGAUGGAUAGGGGUUCUGAGAGGAAGGUCCCCCACAUUGGAACUGAGACACGGUCCAA